rnacentral:rRNA from 1 species
GAUGAACGCUGGCGGCGUGCCUAAUACAUGCAAGUCGAGCGAACGGACGAGAAGCUUGCUUCUCUGAUGUUAGCGGCGGACGGGUGAGUAACACGUGGAUAACCUACCUAUAAGACUGGGAUACCUUCGGGAAACCGGAGCUAAUACCCGAUAAUAUUUUGAACCGCAUGGUUCAAAAGUGAUAGCCGUUCUUGCUGUCCCUUAUAGAUGGAUCCGCGUUGCAUUAGCUAGUUGGUAAGGUAACGGCUUACCAAGGCAACGAUGCAUAGCCGACCUGAGAGGGUGAUCAGCCACACUGGAACUGAGACACGGUCCAGACUCCUACGGGAGGGAGCAGUAGGGAAACUUCCGCAAUGGGCGAAAGCCUGACGGAGCAACGGCGCGUGAGUGAUGAAGGUCUUCGGAUCGUAAAACUCUGUUAUUAGGGAAGAACAUAUGGGUAAGUAACUGUGCACAUCUUGACGGUACCUAAUCAGAAAGCCACGGCUAACUACGUG